UAUAUAUAUAGAGGGCGGUUAACCUACAUUAUGAGUAAUCGUACAUAACAUACGUUAUAAUCCUGACCGUAGGAUCAAGGGAUUAAAAGCGUGAUUAAAUAAUUGUUUAAGGGUCUGUCUAAAACGUAAUUAUGUGAACCAAAGGUUAAAAUGGUCAAUUUCCUAUACCUAAAUACCCGGCUAAAUCUCAGUAUCUAAUCAAAAACCAUAUUUGAUCAUCAAAAAUUUCGGUGAGUUUCAAACGAUUCCGACCGACGGAGAAAAAACGAUUCCGACCGUCGGAGAAAGACGAUUAACAACGGUGAACAAGCAACGACCAUCGAUUUCACUUGAGAAUGACGAAUACGGCAUUAAGAGAAGCUAAAAGAGAAAGACGGAGCAAGAAAAGAAAUGAUCCGGUGAAGCCGGUGCACAUUAGCGGCAUAACUACAGGGGUUGCUGAUGAUGAUGAUGAUUUUGAGCCCCCGAUUCAGUUGAUGAUGACAAAGCAACCUCAGAAAUUAAAGGUUAA